AUAGUCUCCAUCUGUGGUUCACAUCGCUGUCAGCCCCGUCCCUUUUGAAAGGAAAGCCUUUCUCCCCUGCACUCUUCUCAAGAGAAAAUGGCUGAACACCGAUUCUGUGAGUUAACAGAAUAUGAAUUACAAAACAUACUGCAAAAGAAAGAUGCUCCAGACACUAAAAUGGUGAUUAAAACGUCAAUCUCACUGUUUUCCGACUCUCACGUUCAAACAAACUCAACUCGACGAAAACAAAUAUGACGGGCAGGAUAUAAACUGGGUUAUGCAGCAGUCACAAACCAGACGAGACGGAGAAAAACUUUGCUAACUGUACGAGCCUGUGACACAGCCAUGGCCUGCUCCCCGGGGGCAUAAAACUACUGCGCUCACAAAUUUCGGUGCCAUUUUUCCUUUCAAGAACUGACCUAACAGGAAAGCCUGGUUCAGAUAAGUAAUUUUUCUACAAUAUAUUUUGCAUUUAUUGUGUUUUUACACAAAUUAUAUGUGAUAUUAAAAUAAUAGCUUGUGGCAAAGUGGUUAGUGCUGCACAGGUAUAGAGGUGAUACAGUGCUCAAACACAAUGUUCACGGUCCAAACAGUUAUUUUAAUUGUUGUCACGGUUUGGCAUCGUCAAAUAAUAAUGCUUAGCUGUAGCGCUGGGUGGUGUCACCAGAAGGGAGGUCGUCACCAUGGACGCGUCAAGCCUGGACUGGGGAUCUGUGUGGAAUGGCCUCUCAAGGAGAGUCCCCAGCACCUCAGAGUAGAGGCUUCAACCCUGGGUGGUGAGCCUCCCAGUAAUUAACCCAUAGGAGACGGGGACCCACUGGCAAUAAAUGCCUUGGCACACCAGUGGCCAAGGCUUCGGUUAUACGUCUUCCCACUGUUUACCCUGCUCCCGCUGUGUUUUAAACCCAGAUGCAGCUUCUGAGUGACCAGCCGUGGAGACUGCCAAAGCAUUGUGACCUGCUCAGUCAGGCACGGGGGACCUUAUGGCAUUCCGACCCAUCGAGCCUGCAGCUCUGGAUCUGGCCCCUGAACGGCUGCAUUUGAGUCGUCUGGAACUUCCAACAGGGUUAUUGACACCCUUCAGAAUGCUAGAACACCGUUCACACAAAAAAAUAACAGGCGUGGUAUAAUAGUAUAGUGUUGCUGUUGGGAGACGGUCUGAACCCAACAAGUUAUCUGGAUAAUAACCCAAGAAGAGAACGGGAUGCAAAGGGCCACUAAAAGGACCUUGAACAAGAGAUGAACAAGUUCAAGAUCUGACAGAAUAGGUUGCAGAAGAGAAGCUGAUCAGAUUCAAUACAAAUAAGGACUGGCUUCCAGGAUCACUCGUCCUGUAAUGUCACCUGUGUUUGAUUCUUCUUCAAACACCUGUCCAAGACCCAGAGAGUCUGAAUUACGCACAGAGUGCAGCCAUGACAAAAGACCUUAAAUUUUAUAACAGUGACUAUCUGCCAUGACAGUUUGAAAGGAAAUUAUUAGUUAAAAUUGUAUUGAUUAUAAAAGAAAAUUGGAACAUGUAAUAUGAUGCAGCGAGUUUUUCUAGAAAGAAAAAAAUUAAAGUUUGCUAAUGAAAGCUAAAAUAAUAGUGACCUAGGAAGAAAUGCAUUUAACGUUAAACAUCUUCGAGACAUUUACCGCUUCUAGUAAUGAAGCUAAUGCAUUUGAAAUCUGUGGCUUGGCAAGGUUUAAAAUGCAGCCUUUCAUGCCUUUCACUAUUCCCCCUGUAUGAUUUAUUUUAAUCUUGUUUAUGAAAAUAACUUCACAUUAGUCAGGCCAGUGUUUUCCUCCAGAGAAUAUGUGUUCACCCCUGUAUUAACAUUGCUAAAUAUUUUAACAAUACAGGAGAAAGAGACCUGCUGAAGAGCAAUAGUGUUCAGAUCUGCUGCUGUUCAGACAUUUGAAAUGGACCCCUAUUACUUGUGCUGUUCUCACAUUUCCUUUAAUUAAUAUGCAUUCUUUGGUUAUGUUUAGUGCAAACAAACAUCUCUGGCUUGUAUUGGAUUCAUAUCACUGAUUUCACUAGUACACUGCAAUGAGUAAUACAACACAAUACACUUUUUUCUAAAUGGAAAAACAAAUUGAUGAUGCUCCAAAACUUUGUAUAAGUAAUUAAGUAUGUUAAUUUAAAUGCCAUUCUGCAGAGGUUUGUAAUUUUUUUUUUAAUGGCGCAAAUGUUGCAUAAGAAGUUUGAGCCCUGUAAAUGGAGGCUUAUUAUUAUUUUGCAUUGUUUAACAUCCUAUGAAUUGGACACGUAAAACAACAAUGUCAGGAUCCUUAAGAAUGCAAUAUUUCAUGUAAUAUUUUCAACACUGUCGCUAUAAAAGCACUUGAUAAGGCGUCGACUCGUUUAUCAUAGUGCACUGACAUCAGUAGUUGAGCUCUCUGUUAAAUUACUUCAUUUUGGAUGUAUUAACUGUAUAGCAGUGAUAAUCACCAGCAGGAAAGAACUGUGAAAAAAGCAAGUAUCUGUUUAAUCUAUCCUCCCCCAAUCAAUUACAAUUUGACACUUUCAGUAGAUUUCCAUGACCAGAUUUAAGGAUCUUUGGUAGUUGGGGGCUUGCAGUAAGUACUGUGUCUAUGUCUGUGCUGUAUGUAUA